rnacentral:rRNA from 1 species
GACGAACGCUGGCGGCGUGCUUAACACAUGCAAGUCGAACGGAGAGGCCCUGCUUUUGUGGGAUGCGCAUGUGGCGAACAGGGGAGUAUCACGCGAGUAACCUGCCCUUUACUUUGGGAUACAUUCAGUGAACUGGGGCGAUUAUCGGGCAUGAGAACCUGCUGCACGGGGGGUGAGGGAAAGUGGCGCUGGUUGGGGAUGGACUCGCGGUUUAUCAGCUUGUUGGUGAGGUAGUGGCGUACCAAGGCGUUGACGGGUAGCCGGCCUGAGAGUGUGACCGGCCACAUUGGGACACAGAAACGACCCAGACUCCAACUGGAGGCAGCAGUGGAGAAUAUUGCGCAAUGGGCGGAAGCAGGAUGCAGCAACGCCGGGUGCUGGAUGACGGCUUUCGGGGUGUAAACCGCUUUCGCCUGUGACGCAGCGUGAGUGACGGUAAUGGGUAAGGAAGCACCGGCUAACUACGUG